CAUCGAUGAAGAACGCAGCGGCAUGCGAUACGUAAUGUGCAUUGCAGAAUUCCGUGGAUCAUCGAAUCUUUGUACGCACAUUGCGCCGGCCAGCAUUCUGGCGGGCAUGCCUGUUCGAGCGUCAUUUCAACCCUCGACGUCCCCUGGGACGUCGGCCUUGGGGACCGGCAGCACCCCGCCGGCCCUGAAAUGGAGUGGCGGCCCGUCCGCGGCGACCUCUGCGCAGUACGACCACUCGCACCGGGAACCCGACGCGGCCCGCCGGAAACCCCCAACCCCUGUACGUGACCUAAUGACAUGGC
rnacentral:rRNA from 1 species